CUAAGGCCAACGGGAGAAGGGUUGUUAAGGAACUCGGCAAAUUGACCCCGUAACUUCGGGAGAAGGGGUGCUCCAGAGAUGGAGCCGCAGAGAAUCGGCCCAAGCAACUGUUUACCAAAAACACAGGUUUGUGCUAAAUCGAAAGAUGACGUAUACGAGCUGACGCCUGCCCGGUGCUGGAAGGUUAAGAGGAGAUGUGCAAGCAUUGAAUCGAAGCCCCAGUGAACGGCGGCCGUAACUAUAACGGUCCUAAGGUAGCGAAAUUCCUUGUCAGGUAAGUUCUGACCCGCAUGAAAGGCGUAAUGAUUUGGGCACUGUCUCGACAGCCCGCCCGGCGAAAUUGUAGUACCGGUGAAGAUGCCGGUUACCCGCGACAAGACGGAAAGACCCCAUGGAGCUUUACUGUAGCCUAAUAUUGGGUUUCGAUGUUGCAUGCACAGGAUAGAUGGGACACAGGGAAACAAGUGCUUUGGCAUUUGUGGAGUGGCCGUUGGGAUACCAUCCUUGCGAUAUUGGAAUUCUAACCUGCGCCUUUGAAUCAAGGCGGGGGACAUUGUUAGGUGGGCAGUUUGACUGGGGCGGUCGCCUCCUAAAGAGUAACGGAGGCGUUCAAAGGUUCGCUCAGCUUGAACGGAAAUCAAGCAAAAGAGUGCAAACGCAGAAGCGAGCCUAACUGCGAGACUGACGGGUCGAGCAGUAACGAAAGUUGGAGUUAGUGAUCCGGUGGUAUGUGAGUGGAAAUGCCAUCGCUCAACGGAUAAAAGUUACCCUGGGGAUAACAGGCUGAUCUCCCCCAAGAGUCCACAUCGACGGGGAGGUUUGGCACCUCGAUGUCGGCUCAUCGCAUCCUGGGGCUGUAUUCGGUCCCAAGGGUUUGGCUGUUCGCCAAUUAAAGCGGUACGCGAGCUGGGUUCAGAACGUCGUGAGACAGUUCGGUCCCUAUCUGUCGUGGGCGCAGGAUAUUUGAUGGGAGCUGUUCCUAGUACGAGAGGACCGGAGCGGACGUACCUCUGGCGCACCAGUUGUUCUGCCAAGGGCAUAGCUGGGCAACUAUGUACGGAUCGGAUAAACGCUGAAAGCAUCUAAGCGUGAAGCCGACCCAAAGAUAAGAUAUCCCAUUGUUUCAAACAAGUAAGACCCCUUGAAGACUACAAGGUUGAUAGGCACGAUGUGUAAGUGGAGUGAUCCAUUCAGCAAGCGUGUACUAAUAGGUCGAGGGCUUGACCAC
rnacentral:rRNA from 1 species